GAAGGUAUAGCUCAAGUGGUAGAGCACAUGCUUAGCAUGCAGGAAGUCCUGGGUUCAAUCCCCAGUACUUCCU
rnacentral:tRNA from 1 species